CUCUUAUCCCGAGCUGGUGGAGGGACAGGCCCUGUGAAACCCAGCAACCUGCUUUACCGGAAAAAUUCAUUUCAGAUCAGAAUGCCCUGAGUGAAUUUGAAAAGCAAAGGUGCUAACCUGAUGCAAGGCGAAAGCCCUUGAUCGAUAAGAG
rnacentral:ncRNA from 2 species